rnacentral:rRNA from 1 species
UACGUAGGGUGCAAGCGUUGUCCGGAAUUAUUGGGCGUAAAGAGCUCGUAGGCGGUCUGUUGCGUCGGCUGUGAAAACCCGGGGCUCAACCCCGGGCCUGCAGCCGAUACGGGCAGACUAGAGUUCGGCAGGGGAGACUGGAAUUCCUGGUGUAGCGGUGAAAUGCGCAGAUAUCAGGAGGAACACCUAUGGCGAAGGCAGCUCGCUGGGACGGUACUGACGCUGAGGCGCGAAAGCGUGGGGAGCGAACAGG